UGAGGAAUAUUGGUCAAUGGGCGCGAGCCUGAACCAGCCACGUCGCGUGAAGGAUGACGGCCUUAUGGGUUGUAAACUUCUUUUACAGGGGAAUAAAGUGAGUCACGUGUGAUUUUUUGCAUGUACCCUGUGAAUAAGCAUCGGCUAACUCCGUGCCAGCAGCCGCGGUAAUACGGAGGAUGCGAGCGUUAUCCGGAUUUAUUGGGUUUAAAGGGUGCGUAGGCGGGAUAUUAAGUCAGCGGUGAAAGUUUUCGGCUCAACCUUAAAAUUGCCGUUGAAACUGUUAUUCUUGAGUGCAGUAGAGGUAGGCGGAAUUCGUUGUGUAGCGGUGAAAUGCGUAGAUAUAACGAGGAACUCCGAUUGCGUAGGCAGCUUACUAUAUUGCUACUGACGCUGAGGCACGAAAGUGUGGGUAUCAAACAGG
rnacentral:rRNA from 1 species